CCAGCCUAAAAUUUUUCAAAAUGCUUCUUUGAAGUGUUGCUCUUUUUUUCCUCUAACACCAAGUACAAGAUUGUAAAGAAAUUUUAAGUAGUUCAAUCAUUUUUCUAUGAUCUCUUCAACAUGACAGGAUCUCAAACUUUUGGUCAUACAUAUAUAAAUUAUGCAGAUUAUUGCAAAUCCAGUUAGGCCAGCCAUCCUUGAACUACAGGCCACUGAAUUCUUUCUGGAUGUGUUGUUGAGCUCCUUCGACUAGCCUUUUAACCACUUCACUUGCAGGAAGAAUUUCAUUAAUAAGGCCAACACCUUGACCAGCAUACAUUGCCAUGCUUUCUAUGUCACCAGUUGCUGUCAUAUUCGGAACGGUGCCCCCAAAACGGCGAAUCUCUUUUUCCUCGCCAUUUAUUGUUGCAUGACCAAUGACAGGUUGAUUGACCUCAUUCUCAUGAGGUGGAAGAGAUUUCCAUUCAUCGAAGAAAGGUGUUACCAGAGCACGUUGCGGUGCAUUAGGCCACCUGGCCCGGCCAAACACAUUUGUGUACUCAGUUUUGUUGAGCUCAAUCAACUUCCUCUUGUAUGUUGGAUGAGCAUAGCUUUCCUCAGUUGCAACAAACCUAGUGCCUAGACAGACCCCUUGAGCACCAAGGGCCAGAGCAGCAACAUAGCCACGCGCAUCAACAAUACCACCAGCAGCAAUUACAGAUAUACCGUGAUCGCCAACAAGAUCAACUACCCUUGGCAACAAUGAAAUUAAGCCUUCCUGUCCAAUUACAUGCCCUCCAGCUUCUCGUCCUUGGACAAUAAUUGCAUCAACACCAACACUGAUGGCCUUUUUGGCAUCUUCAAAACUCCCAACUUGGGGAACAACCUUGACUCCAGCCUGAUGAGCCUUGAGUACAAGCUCCUCUGAACAGUCGCCCCAAUAAACUUGCAAAACUGCUACCUUCUCAUCCAGUAUAGUAUUUACAUUUUCCUCGUGGGGAAAUGCCAGAACAACACCAACUCCAAAGGGUUUAUCAGUUAAAGUCCGAGUUUUCCUUAUCAAUCCCCGCAAGUAAUCAGGUGACUCCCAAUCGGGAGCUCUGAGGAAGCCAAGUCCACCAGCAUUAGCCACAGCAGCUACGAGCUCAGGACCAGAAAUAUCAGGUCCCAAAGGUGCCUGUACAAUCCCAUAUUCAAAACCCAAAAUCCCUCUCCAACCCAUUUCCUUUCUCCUCUUUCUCUAAACUAUUAAAACGAACAAAACACUGCAUAUAAUAAAUGACUACAAUCUUGUGAAUUGGUUCCGUCUUCAAACUGAAAGCAAGCACAGAUAUAUAUACACCAAAGAAGUGGAAGAAGAGAACUUUUCUUCCUUAAGUUGACUGGUCAAAAUCCCAAAAAGAAUUGAUCGGUUUCUGUAGCGAUAGCUUGUCCCUUUGUCUCUGAUUGUUACUAUGUUGACUGCGGAAUAUGGCAGUAGUAGAAGCAGAAACAGAGUAUAACAAGUAAUUUUAUAAUGCUAUUGGCUAGGCAAGGAAGGACGUUUAUUUAGAUUUCUCAAGUUCAGUUCGGAUAUUGACAUCGUUUUUCAAGGUUAUUUAAUUUCAUGGUCUGAAAGCAAUUUGGGCUCGAGUUCGCGGGUGCUCAUGGCUGGCCGCGUCUCAACUGGGCG
rnacentral:misc_RNA from 1 species